AUGAACGCUAGCUACAGGCUUAACACAUGCAAGUCGAGGGGAAACGAUAGGGAAAGCUUGCUUUUCCUAGGCGUCGACCGGCGCACGGGUGAGUAACGCGUAUCCAACCUGCCCAUGUCUGGGGAAUAACCCGUCGAAAGGCGGACUAACUCCCCAUGGUCUCCGAUGAGGACAUCUGAAUUGGAGUAAAGCUUCGCGGACAUGGAUGGGGAUGCGUCUGAUUAGGUAGUAGGCGGGGUAACGGCCCACCUAGCCUACGAUCAGUAGGGGUUCUGAGAGGAAGGUCCCCCACAUUGGAACUGAGACACGGUCCAAACUCCUACGGGAGGCAGCAGUGAGGAAUAUUGGUCAAUGGACGCGAGUCUGAACCAGCCAAGUAGCGUGCAGGAUGACGGCCCUAUGGGUUGUAAACUGCUUUUGCGCGGGGAUAACACCCUCCACGUGCUGGAGGUCUGCAGGUACCGCGCGAAUAAGGACCGGCUAAUUCCGUGCCAGCAGCCGCGGUAAUACGGAAGGUCCGGGCGUUAUCCGGAUUUAUUGGGUUUAAAGGGAGCGUAGGCCGUGAGGUAAGCGUGUUGUGAAAUGUAGGCGCCCAACGUCUGCACUGCAGCGCGAACUGCCCCACUUGAGUGCGCGCAACGCCGGCGGAACUCGUCGUGUAGCGGUGAAAUGCUUAGAUAUGACGAAGAACCCCGAUUGCGAAGGCAGCUGGCGGGAGCGUAACUGACGCUGAAGCUCGAAAGCGCGGGUAUCGAACAGGAUUAGAUACCCUGGUAGUCCGCGCGGUAAACGAUGGAUGCCCGCUGUGGCGCGCCUGGCGUGCCGCGGCUAAGCGAAAGCAUUAAGCAUCCCACCUGGGGAGUACGCCGGCAACGGUGAAACUCAAAGGAAUUGACGGGGGCCCGCACAAGCGGAGGAACAUGUGGUUUAAUUCGAUGAUACGCGAGGAACCUUACCCGGGCUUGAACUGCAGGAGAACGAUUCAGAGAUGAUGAGGUCCUUCGGGACUCCU
rnacentral:rRNA from 1 species